GCUGGGCAUGUGGUUCAUGCCUGUAAUCCCAGCAACUCGGGAGGUUGAGACAGGAGGAUGGCCAGUGAAAUCCUGUCUCAA
rnacentral:sRNA from 1 species